rnacentral:rRNA from 2 species
CUGUAAGCCGUUGAAGGUGGCCUGUGAGGGUUGCUGGAGGUAUCAGAAGUGCGAAUGCUGACAUAAGUAACGAUAAAGCGGGUGAAAAGCCCGCUCGCCGGAAGACCAAGGGUUCCUGUCCAACGUUAAUCGGGGCAGGGUGAGUCGACCCCUAAGGCGAGGCCGAAAGGCGUAGUCGAUGGGAAACAGGUUAAUAUUCCUGUACUUGGUGUUACUGCGAAGGGGGGACGGAGAAGGCUAUGUUAGCCGGGCGACGGUUGUCCCGGUUUAAGCAUGUAGGCGGAGGUUCCAGGUAAAUCCGGUACCUUUUAACGCUGAGGUGUGAUGACGAGGCACUACGGUGCUGAAGUAACAAAUGCCCUGCUUCCAGGAAAA